rnacentral:pre_miRNA from 15 species
CGGGGUUCUCAGGUGCUUCCUCUAACAGGGAAGCUUUUGGCUCGGGUUAUAUUUUCACUCGCGGCGUAUAAGACGAGCAAAAAGCUUGUUGGUUGGAGGAGAGACCCCCCAUCCCCACG